rnacentral:rRNA from 1 species
CGUAGGUGGCAAGCGUUGUCCGGAUUUAUUGGGUUUAAAGGGUGCGUAGGCGGUCUUUUAAGUCAGUGGUGAAAUACUUCAGCUUAACUGGAGAGGUGCCAUUGAUACUGGGAGACUUGAGUACUGAUGAGGUAGGCGGAAUGGACGGUGUAGCGGUGAAAUGCUUAGAUAUCGUCCAGAACACCGAUAGCGAAGGCAGCUUACUAAGGAGUAACUGACGCUGAGGCACGAAAGUGUGGGGAUCAAACAGGAUUAGAUACCCUGGUAGUCCACACUGUAAACGAUGAUCACUCGAUGUUGGCGAUACACAGCCAGCGUCUUAGCAAAAGCGAUAAGUGAUCCACCUGGGGAGUACGCCGGCAACGGUG